GACGAACGCUGGCGGCGUGCUUAACACAUGCAAGUCGAACGGAAAGGCCCUGCUUUUGUGGGGUGCUCGAGUGGCGAACGGGUGAGUAACACGUGAGUAACCUGCCCUUGACUUUGGGAUAACUUCAGGAAACUGGGGCUAAUACCGGAUAGGAGCUCCUGCUGCAUGGUGGGGGUUGGAAAGUUUCGGCGGUUGGGGAUGGACUCGCGGCUUAUCAGCUUGUUGGUGGGGUAGUGGCUUACCAAGGCUUUGACGGGUAGCCGACCUGAGAGGGUGACCGGCCACAUUGGGACUGAGAUACGGCCCAGACUCCUACGGGAGGCAGCAGUGGGGAAUAUUGCGCAAUGGGCGGAAGCCUGAUGCAGCAACGCCGCGUGCGGGAUGACGGCCUUCGGGUUGUAAACCGCUUUCGCCUGUGACGAAGCGUGAGUGACGGUAAUGGGUAAAGAAGCACCGGCUAACUACGUG
rnacentral:rRNA from 1 species